UGGGGAAUUUUGGACAAUGGGGGAAACCCUGAUCCAGCCAUCCCGCGUGUGCGAUGAAGGCCUUCGGGUUGUAAAGCACUUUUGUCAGGGAAGAAAAGGUUUCGGAUAAUACCUGGAACUGAUGACGGUACCUGAAGAAUAAGCACCGGCUAACUACGUGCCAGCAGCCGCGGUAAUACGUAGGGUGCAAGCGUUAAUCGGAAUUACUGGGCGUAAAGCGUGCGCAGGCGGUUCGGAAAGAAAGAUGUGAAAUCCCAGGGCUCAACCUUGGAACUGCAUUUUUAACUACCGGACUAGAGUAUGUCAGAGGGGGGUGGAAUUCCACGUGUAGCAGUGAAAUGCGUAGAUAUGUGGAGGAACACCGAUGGCGAAGGCAGCCCCCUGGGAUAAUACUGACGCUCAUGCACGAAAGCGUGGGGAGCAAACAGGAUUAGAUACCCUGGUAGUCCACGCCCUAAACGAUGUCAACUAGCUGUUGGGCCCUUCGGGGCUUAGUAGCGCAGCUAACGCGUGAAGUUGACCGCCUGGGGAGUACGGUCGCAAGAUUAA
rnacentral:rRNA from 1 species